UUAUAGAUGAAUUUUCAGCAUGUUGCAUAUAAAACGCUUUCUUUAUCGAUAUUUUUGACUUUUUUGCGUGAUUUUUGACCAAGAAUUUAUUAAAGUUCAUUUUAGUUUGUAGUUCAGUUGGUUUGCUUGAGAUCUUUUUACCUAUUUGAUUAGUGUUUUGUUGAUUCAUUUUUUCGUGAAAAAUUUUGAUUUCUGAACUUUUUAUAUCUUCCCCUGCAGCUUUUUGUGACCAUAUUUGAUUAAACUUGUUUAUCAUUCGUCGUUGCAUCAAAAUAACCGCUUCAAAAUGAGGACCAUUAGAAGCCAUCAUCAAUCCAAUGAGACCAAUACCACAUCCUAUUUCAAGUACUGUUGUUUUUGGAGCGCAAGUUGUACUUUUAGGCCCCCAACAAUUUCAUCUAAAGCUUCUGAACCAACUAAAAAUGUUGUAUCCGUGACAGCAGUAUCGUCAUACCUGAUAUUAAAAAAUGUUUCAGGAUCCGUAAGACAAAUGACACUUGGACUAAAAUGUUACGAACGUUGUAUUUGAUAUUGAUAACUGAUUUUAUGAUUCAACAAAUGCAUAUAUAAAAUCAACGCACAAAUGGAAUUAUAUCAAUCUUUUAUCAAAUACUGUAAUGUUAUUGCAUCUUUACGAUAUAUCAUGAACAUUUUACAUACACUAUAAUUUCACAAAGAUAAAUUUCUUACCAUGUACAAAGAUAUACAUGUGUAUGUGUAUACCACUGUAAUGUAAUAUUAUUUCUUCAAAUAUUCUUAUUAUAUUAUAUUCCGUUAGUUGCAAAAGUUUUACAUAAUCCCUUCUUUAUUUCAUCGUACUACCCAAUGCCAAGUAAAAUUUAAUCGCGCGACGGGCAAUGGCGAAUAUGGCGUUCCGAAAACAAUCGACUAUUGUAGAGUGUAGAGUUUAAAAUUCUAGUCCCUUCCAAAUUGUCGUGAUCACAAAUAGUUACCAAUGACUAUUUUUAUAUUCAUUGUAUUGUGACAUUUUUGUGAAUAUAUAUAGCUUCUUGUAUUAUUGUACACACGAUAUUAGGUGAUAUUAGUAAAUUAGCAAAAAAUAUAUGCGUAUAGAAAUGUUACCUAAGAAAAUUUCACUAUAUGAAAUCUUAAAAAAUCCUAAAAUUGUUAAAGUUAGUGAUUCCUACUACGAUCACAUAAACAAAUCUCGACACUCGCUAGGGAAAGUCGUCCCAUAAUUGAGUCGUGACUAGUCAUGAGAAUCAACAUGAAAGACAAUAAAGUUCGCG
rnacentral:misc_RNA from 1 species